GAUGAACGCUGGCGGCGUGCCUAACACAUGCAAGUCGAGCGAUUUACUUCGGUAAGGAGCGGCGGACGGGUGAGUAACGCGUGGGUAACCUGCCCUAUACACACGGAUAACAUACCGAAAGGUAUGCUAAUACGAGAUAAUAUAAGAGAUUCACAUGGAUUUCUUAUCAAAGCUGAGGCGGUAUAGGAUGGACCCGCGUCUGAUUAGCUAGUUGGUAAGGUAACGGCUUACCAAGGCGACGAUCAGUAGCCGACCUGAGAGGGUGAUCGGCCACAUUGGAACUGAGACACGGUCCAAACUCCUACGGGAGGCAGCAGUGGGGAAUAUUGCACAAUGGGCGAAAGCCUGAUGCAGCAACGCCGCGUGAGUGAUGAAGGCCUUCGGGUCGUAAAACUCUGUCCUCAAGGAAGAUAAUGACGGUACUUGAGGAGGAAGCCCCGGCUAACUACGUGCCAGCCGCCGCAGUAA
rnacentral:rRNA from 1 species